GACGAACGCUGGCGGCGUGCCUAAUACAUGCAAGUAGGACGCAGUUGCGAACGGGUGAGUAAAGCGUAGGUAACUACCUAUAAGAGGGGGAUAAAUAGUGGAAACGAUAGCUAAUACCGCAUACUAGUAGAUGGACCUGCGUUGUAUUAGCUAGUAGGUUGGGUAAUGGCCUACCUAGGGAACGAAACCUAGCCGACCUGAGAAGGUGGUCGGGCACAACUGGACUGAGACCCGGGCCCGACUUCUACAGGAAGCAGCAGUUGGGAAUCUUCGGCAAUGGGGGGAACCCUGACCGAGCAACGCCGGCGGGGUGAAGGAGGUUUUCGGGUCGUAAAGCUCUGUUGUGAAGGAAGCGGUACUUAACCAGAAAGCGACGGCUAACUACGUGCCAGCAGCCGCGGUAAUUC
rnacentral:rRNA from 1 species